GACGACGCUGGCGGCGUGCCUAAUACAUGCAAGUCGAACGAGUGGCGAACGGGUGAGUAACACGUGGGAACCUGCCUAAUGGAGGGGGAAAACUACUGGAAAAGGUAGCUAAUACCGCAUACCAUCGGAUGUGCCCAGAUGGGAUUAGCUUGUUGGUGGGGUAAGGGCUCACCAAGGCGACGAUCCCUAGCUGGUCUGAGAGGAUGACCAGCCACACUGGAACUGAGACACGGUCCAGACUCCUACGGGAGGCAGCAGUGGGGAAUAUUGCACAAUGGGCGCAAGCCUGAUGCAGCCAUGCCGCGUGUAUGAAGAAGGCCUUCGGGUUGUAAAGUACUUUCAGCGGGGAGGCGUUACCCGCAGAAGAAGCACCGGCUAACUCCGUGCCAGCAGCCGCGGUAAUAC
rnacentral:rRNA from 1 species